GACGAACGCUGGCGGCGUGCUUAACACAUGCAAGUCGAACGGAAAGGCCCUGCUUGCAGGGUACUCGAGUGGCGAACGGGUGAGUAACACGUGGGUGAUCUGCCCUUCACUUCGGGAUAAGCCUGGGAAACUGGGUCUAAUACCGGAUAGGAGCCAUUUUUAGUGUGAUGGUUGGAAAGUUUUUUCGGUGUAGGAUGAGCUCGCGGCCUAUCAGCUUGUUGGUGGGGUAAUGGCCUACCAAGGCGGCGACGGGUAGCCGGCCUGAGAGGGUGGACGGCCACAUUGGGACUGAGAUACGGCCCAGACGCCUGCGGGAGGCAGCAGUGGGGAAUAUUGCACAAUGGGCGCAAGCCUGAUGCAGCGACGCCGGGUGGGGGAUGACGGGCUUCGGGUUGUAAACUCCUUUCGCUAGGGACGAAGCUUUUUGUGACGGUACCUAGAUAAGAAGCACCGGCUAACUACGUG
rnacentral:rRNA from 1 species